AUGGGUUUGAAUAGAUUGAUGGAUUGCACGAUACCUUGCUUGAUCUUUCUUGCUGCGAGUCUACUACAUGUACAUGUGCACUCCGAUGCUGAUUCCUUAGAUGAAGGAUUCAUCAGCAUAGAUUGCGGGCUUCCAAGUGGAUCCAGCUACCUGGACGAGAAAACAGGUCUUAACUACACUUCAGACAAUGGGUACAUAAACAUGGGAGAGAACCACAACAUCUCUGCAGAGUACAAUGCGCAUGAACUGCUCAGGUCAAGUUUGAACCUGAGAAGCUUCCCCAAUGGAGGCCGGAACUGCUACACCUUAUCUCCUGCCACGGCAGGCCUCAAGUACCUCGUGAGAGUAACGUUCUUGCACGGGAAUUAUGAUGGUAAGGAGCGUGACCUCGUCAGGUCGCCACUGAUGUUUGAUCUCUACAUGGGGCUUCAUUUCUGGGACCGGAUCAGCGUCAGCAGCACUACAACGAUGUACGUCGCAGAGGCAAUCUUUGUGGCUGAGGUGAGCUCAAUAUCCGUUUGCUUGAUAGACAUUCACAGUGGGACUGCCUUUGUGUCGUCGCUGGAGAUGAGGCAGAUGAAAAGCUCAUUGUACCCAGUAGCCAUGCAAAAUCAGUCCAUCGCGCUCCAGGAACGGCGUAGCCUUGGUGCAAGCAGCCUAGUCAGGUGUCCGGAUGAUACCUACGAUCGUUUGUGGUGGCCAUCAAACGGUACCUCACGGUGGCUGAAUCUAUCGACAACAAGUGAAAUUAAACGUUAUUUAACUGAUACAGCUGAGGUGCCAAUUAGAGUGCUCCAAACUGCCGUCACCUCGCUUACCACCUCCAUCCCUCUCAACUUGUCGUGGGCAGUUCCUUCUGCCUGGCCGGCCAUGGCACCGCCUGGGUACUACCUCAAUUUGUAUUAUACUGAUUUCCAGAAUCAGAGCAGGCGGGAAUUUGAUAUAUAUUACAAUGGCUUCCUGUGGGAGACAAAUAAUCGGCCGGUCAGCCCAACCUAUCUCUUUGCAGACUAUACAGCUGCCACAGCUCUAUUCACUGAUGCCAGCGGUUUCUACAAUGUCUCCAUAAUCGCUACCAACACCUCUGUGCUCCCUCCCAUACUAAGUGCAUACAAGAUAUACUAUCUCAUCCAGCAUGAUGAUACCGCAACCGAUACACAAGAUGUUGAAGCAAUGAUGAAUAUCAAAAGUGAAUACCAAGUUGAGAAGAACUGGAUGGGUGACCCAUGUUUACCCGAAAAAUAUACAUGGAUUGGAUUGACAUGUAGAGGUGAUGGAGUGACAUCAAGAGUAAAAAGUUUGGACAUGUCCAACAGUGAUUUGCAAGGUGCAAUAUCUGAACAAUUUUCUUUUUUGAAAUCACUCCAAUACUUGAAUUUGUCAUUCAAUAAUUUAUAUGGACCAGUGCCUGAUUCUUUGACAAACUUAUUGUCCCUUCGUGUCCUCGAUCUAUCAGGGAAUCAUCUUGAUGGUCCAAUUCCUGAAGCUUUAUGCAUGGCACGCUCACUUACUUUAAGGUAUGACACCAUAAAUGGAGAUCCAUGCAAUGGAAAAUCACCACAUAAGGAAAACACCCUCCUCAUAACUGUCGUAGCAGUACCCGUGGUGAUAAUGGCAUUGCUGGCAUGUACAUUGACAGUGUUUUGUUUCUGCAGAAAGCAAGUUCCAAGUGUGCUACUGGGAUGUGUUGAUCUGCCAGGUCCCAAAAGUCAAGAAAACUGUAAAGGUCACAUACACACAUCCGACAGCCGUGAAUUCACAUAAGCAGAGUUGGUUGCAAUAACAAACAAUUUUUCCGCAUGCAUUGGUGAAGGAGGUUAUGGACCUGUCUUCCAUGGCCAAUUAAAAGAUGGUACUCAGGUUGCUGUCAAGAUGCAUUCUCCAACAUCAGCAACAGGAAAAGGAAUGGAAGAGUUUUUAGCUGAGGUUGGGAGCUUAACAACCGUGCACCAUAGGUAUCUCGUUGUGCUGGUUGGCUACUGCACUGACAAGGACCAUUUAGCUCUAAUUUAUGAGUACAUGCCUAAUGGAAGUCUUUAUGAUAACAUACGAGGCAGAAAUGCAAUUGUUCAGACACUGGGAUGGCAUGAUCGAGCACGGAUUGCACUUGAAGCUGCUCAAGGUGUACUCUGGAGGAAACACUGCAUUUCUUGAUUUUGCCAGUUAAAUGCACAAGCAAUAUAUGAUAACAUGUACUAUCUUACAUAGGUUUGGACUACUUGCACACGGGAUGCGUAUUACCAAUAACUCAUAGAGACUUGAAGGCGCACAACAUUCUUCUAGGACAUGACAUGGUUGCUAAGAUCUCAGAUUUUGGAUUGUCCAAGUCAUACAUCAAUGUGGCACAAAGUCACAUAUCUGUGACAGCUGCAGGAACUCUAGGCUACAUCGAUCCAGAGUACUGUGUUAGCGGCAGGCUCACCACAAGCAGUGAUGUCUUCAGCUUUGGAGUGGUUUUACUAGAGAUUGUCACAGGUGAACCUCCAAUCUUGCCGACCCCUGUGCAUAUUGUGCAGCGUGUAAAGGAGAAGGUUAUCAUGGGCGAUAUUGAGGCAAUUGUUGAUCGAGGACUUCACUGUCAAUAUGACUUCAGUUCUAUUUGGAAGGUUGUGGACAUGGCCCUGCUUUGCACAAGAGAGGUAUCCAGUGAGAGGCCAACAAUGAGUAUGGUGGUGGCUCAGCUAAAGGACGCUCUAGCACUGGAAGAAUCACGUGUAAGUUCAAGCACCAUUAGCCAAGUCGGUUCUAAUGUGGACCUGUCAAUCAGCUGGGUAGCAUCAGGAAGAUGAAGCCUAAGUGAUCCAUUCUGAAAUUACUCUUUAAAUAUUGGUGUAUUCAUGGACAUUUGUGCCUGUCUAAUGGAGUCCUAGACACGUACGCUACAACUUGAGAGAUGUAUCUGUGACAUAUAGCAUAUCAUGCAUUCUGUAUCCUAUAGAACUAUGCAAUGUCUGAAAGUUUAGCUUUCUAGGUGAUGUCUUGAGAGUAUUUCAAAGGUCAAUCAGAAAUACUACCUGAAAAACCUAUAACAGGAUGUCAGAAUUGCCACUUCCAAGUUUGGAAGUUCUUCUGCAAACUGGAGCAAUAUGUAAAGCUUAAAAGAUUACCCGGGUCUGUAUUUUCUGUCACAUCUCUCCA
rnacentral:rRNA from 1 species